UCAGUCAGUCAUUGGCUGCUAUAGGGUGGAGAGACGCUUGUCAGUGAAGCUCCUGAGAGCGAUUCGCUCACUGCUAUUGUGACCCCCAGCAGAAAACUCAAUUAUCAGUGUCAUUUUAAUAUUUAAAUAGUGCAUCUGACUAUGUGCGUUUAAGUGCGUUGGUCGAUGUGAUGAGGAACUUCGAAAUCAUACCUAAUAAUUACGCGAAACGAGCUGUCAUGAGUUUUGUGUGUAUCUUUAGGAAACUCUGGUUAUUAUAGACUAUAUUUCCGGGACAGAAUCCCUUCAACAUUACACACUUCACUGCAUAUCCAUAACACCGGAAACAUCAUUUCUCAGUUGUGGAAAUUCUUACUUUUCAACGUAUCAGCCAUAAUAACAUAAUAAUAGUGUUAAUGAUGCUCUAAACAGCGACUUGGCGGUGGUGUUGGGUAACAACACUGACUGUUGGUCGCUGCCUCGCCAUCACUGACCUACGUACACGACCACCAUUCUCUAUCUUUCAUUACUCCCUUCGUCAAAAUUGAUUAUUCUAAGUUUGGUUUAGGUUUAAGCUUACGUUUAAGCUUGGGUUUGACUGCUGAUUAUUAUUCCCUGGAAAUGGAUACGUUGUAGUAAGCGUGCAAUGUUCAUGGGUUUCUAUCCUGGAGAAUUUUAUCUGGUAAUAACGAGGAUUCACACUGACGUCAAGAGACGCAUGAAAACAGACUGGGUGUGUUUUCAGUAAGCUCCUUCUGAGGGUGUCCCCUGGUGGUCUUGCUGUCCAGUGCCCCGUCAUCACCUGGUGGUCUUGCUGUCCAGUGCCCCGUCAUCACCUGGUGGUCUUGCUGUCCAGUGCCCCGUCAUCACCUGGUGGUCUUGCUAUCCAGUGCCCCGUCAUCACCUGGUGGUCUUGCUGUCCAGUGCCCCGUCAUCACCUGGUGGUCUUGCUGUCCAGUGCAUCGUCAUCAACUCUCCCACAUUCAUCAGCAACAACACUGGUUCCAUCUGUGACGAUUCUCUCUCUCUCUCUCUCUCUCUCUCUCUCUCUCUCUCUCUCUCUCUCUCUCUCUCUC